rnacentral:lncRNA from 1 species
UUUACUGUCCUGCCUGGAGAAAUAAUAGGAAACCUCCUUUGGGGAUGCUCCUCUUGUGAAAAUUUUUCCUCCUCACAUGUUCCUGCUUGCCAUUUAUGAGUCAAUGGGAAAUUGUUGAAGAAACAAUCUGAUGUAAAAUAUUGUGGAGCCAUUACAAUUGUGUAUACAGGUUCUUAACUUGAUAUUCAAGGGGGCACCAGGAGAAGCUUUUUGUUGGGUGAUGGAAUAGCCAAGUAACAGGUAUCUGAAAAUUUUCUUGGUGCCUCUUAGAACAAGAAUAGCACUUUGAUAGAAAUACAGCCAUCCAUGGGCAACCUGGCUUACAGUAGCUGGUGCAUAUGGUAUAAUCGACAAAAUGGAAAAGACCUGAGAAAUCAGAACAGAAAUGAGGGAACAUUUUGUUUUGGUAAUGUUUUUGGUUAAUAAUUCUCAAAUGUUGAUAAAUUGUUUAUGCCAAUUUUGAAUCUAGCCAUGGUUCGGUAGUCAUAGCAACUUCAUCACUUUUGUGUAUCCAUUGGGUGGCAGUGGCAGCCUUUUCGGGGAUUCCUUAGGGACUGAUUCACUCUGCAUAGAUUGACUGAAUGGAGAGUCUUCCACUGGUAGGCAAUCAUGUGUUUCACUCAUGUUGGCAUUCUUGAUAUCUUUAGGUGUUGUCAUCAAAACCCUUCCCCGGUGGACAGAACCAGGUGUUGUCACCAAAACCCUUCCCCAUGAACAGAACGUUCUGCUAUUGACACUUGAAAAAGCAGCUUUCAAGGUCUCAUUUUUUCCUUUAAAAUCUGACAUGUUGUAAUUGAUUUUUGUGAUACUAUUGUUAUGCAGUUAUAUGGGGAAGUCGUCUGCCUCAUUAACUUGUUCACGAUAGAAGGUUGUAAUAGGAGGAAAAGGUCUACCUCAUUAACUUGUUUACAAAAUGAGGUAUAGUUGCUGCACUUUUCCAGAUUCGUAUCAUGCAAGCUUUUCAGCAUAAAUGGCAAAUUAUGUUUUAGAAGGUCCCAUUCUUACAGCAGUC